GCGUAAGCGCGCGCAGGCGGUUUCUUAUGUCUGAUGUGAAAGCCCACGGCUCUCCCGUGGAGGGUCAUUGGAAACUGGGGAACUUGAGUGCACAAAAGAAAAGCGGAAUUCCACGUGUAGCGGUGAAAUGCGUAGAGAUGUGGAGGAACACCAGUGGCGAAGGCGGCUUUUUGGUCUGUAACUGACGCUGAGGCGCGAAAGCGUGGGGAGCAAACAGGAUUAUAUACCCUGGUAGUCCACGCCGUAAACGAUGAGUGCUAAGUGUUAGAGGGUUUCCGCCCUUUAGUGCUGCAGCUAACGCAUUAAGCACUCCGCCUGGGGAGUACGGUCGCAAGACUGAAACUCAAAGGAAUUGACGGGGGCCCGCACCAGCGGUGGAGCAUGUGGUUUAAUUCUAAUUAACGCGAAGAACCUUACCAGGUCUUGACGUCCUCUGACAACUCUAGAGAUAGAGCGUUCCCCUUCGGGGGACAGAGAGACAGGUGGCGCGUG
rnacentral:rRNA from 2 species